rnacentral:rRNA from 1 species
GGAUCAAUUGAUUGGUCAUGCCUACGGUAUGUACUAGUCAUAUUGGUUCUCACCUUCUAAUGAACCUUAAUGUCAUUCACUUGAUGUUUUGGGGAAUUAGGACUGUUACCUUGAAAAAAUUAGAGUGUUUAAAACAGGCGUUUGCUUGAAUACAUUAGCAUGGAAUAACGGAAUAGGACU